rnacentral:rRNA from 1 species
AACGAACGCUGGCGGCAGGCCUAACACAUGCAAGUCGAGCGGGGGAGCAAUCCCUAGCGGCGGACGGGUUAGUAACGCGUGGGAACAUACCCUUUGGUACGGAAUAGCCUCGGGAAACUGAGAGUAAUACCGUAUGUGCCCUUCGGGGGAAAGAUUUAUCGCCAAAGGAUUGGCCCGCGUUGGAUUAGGUAGUUGGUGGGGUAAUGGCCUACCAAGCCUACGAUCCAUAGCUGGUUUGAGAGGAUGAUCAGCCACACUGGGACUGAGACACGGCCCAGACUCCUACGGGAGGCAGCAGUGGGGAAUAUUGGACAAUGGGCGAAAGCCUGAUCCAGCAAUGCCGCGUGAGUGAUGAAGGCCUUAGGGUUGUAAAGCUCUUUUACCCGGGAGUGAUAAUGACAGUACCGGGAGGAAUAAGACUCCGGC